UCCCCUAGUAACUGCGAGUGAAGCGGGAAAAGCUCAAAUUUAAAAUCUGGCGGUCUUUGGCCGUCCGAGUUGUAAUCUAGAGAAGUAAUGCCCGCGCUGGACCGUGUAUAAGUCUCCUGGAAUGGAGCGUCAUAGAGGGUGAGAAUCCCGUCUCUGACACGGACUCCCAGGGCUUUGUGGUAUGCUCUCAAAGAGUCGAGUUGUUUGGGAAUGCAGCUCAAAAUGGGUGGUAAAUUCCAUCUAAAGCUAAAUAUUGGCGAGAGACCGAUAGCGAACAAGUACCGUGAGGGAAAGAUGAAAAGAACUUUGGAAAGAGAGUUAAACAGUACGUGAAAUUGCUGAAAGGGAAACGCUUGAAGUCAGUCGCGUUGACCAGGGAUCAGCCUUGCUUCUUGCAUGGUGUACUUUCUGGUUGACGGGUCAACAUCAAUUUUGACCGCUGGAAAAAGGUUUGGGGAAUGUGGCAGCUUCGGCUGUGUUAUAGCCCCUUGUUGUAUACAGCGGUUGGGAUUGAGGAACUCAGCACGCCGCAAGGCCGGGUUUCGACCACGUUCGUGCUUAGGAUGUUGGCAUAAUGGCUUUAAGCGACCCGUCUUGAAACACGGACCAAGGAGUCUAACAUGCCUGCGAGUGUUUGGGUGGUAAACCCGAGCGCGUAAUGAAAGUGAAAGUUGAGAUCCCUGUCGUGGGGAGCAUCGACGCCCGGACCAGAACUUUUGGGACGGAUCCGCGGUAGAGCAUGUAUGUUGGGACCCGAAAGAUGGUGAACUAUGCCUGAAUAGGGUGAAGCCAGAGGAAACUCUGGUGGAGGCUCGUAGCGAUUCUGACGUGCAAAUCGAUCGUCAAAUUUGGGUAUAGGGGCGAAAGACUAAUCGA
rnacentral:rRNA from 1 species